rnacentral:lncRNA from 1 species
CACUCCUUGCAUGGGUCUCUCCGCCCGGUUCUGCAGCGGCUCCUUGUCUGGUUCCUCCUCCUCCCUCUGACCUGUUAGUGCCGGGGCACCCCUGGGUGCGCCCAGGGCCUUUUUGCUGUCUACACUAACUCCCAGGGUGGCCUCAAUCCCGAGGAUCUAAACACGAGCUAUGCCCUAAUGAUUCCUAAAAUGCCGUCCUCAGACCUGCCCUCCCCUCAACUUUAGCCCCAUGCGGCCAACAUCCCCACAUCUGAAAACGACUCCCCACCUUCCCCCACAGCCAUUCCGCCCUCUGCCUCCUCCACAACGCUGCAUCCUGCCAGCUGCUCAGGAGGGAAAUCACUCUUUCCCUCAUUUCCUGCAUCUGAUCCACCAGCGAAUCCUGUUGGCUGCCUCUGAAAUGUACCCCGAAUCUGACUGACGGUCCCCAUCCUCCUCCAGGCCCCCAACACCCGUCACCUGGGCUGGCGAAGUGCCCUCCGCACCCGCCUCCUCUCCUCCACCCAUGUCUUCAGUCUGAUCCCCACACCUAACUCAGAUCUCCUCCCCGCUCCGCUCAGACCCUCGCUGGGCUCCCAGCUCCCUCAGCCUUACCAUGGUCUCAAAGCCACCCGUCAGGGGUACAGCCAGGUUUUGUGGGGUCUGAAGCUUCUAUGAUGUGGGAGGCCCUCUUUAAGAAAAAGAAUGCAAUCUUACGAAUACAAAAUGAGGGGAUCUGGGAGGAAGGGGGAGUCAGACUGGAAGAGAGUGGUCUUGACCAACUGGGAUAAAAAUAGCUUGCUCGUCUGGUACGACCCCUUUGGCAGACAGCUCAGUGUGCCUGUGAGGAAGGGCACAUGUGCCCUCAGCCAGCAGUCCCACUGGGUCAACACCCAACAAAAACGUGCAGGCAUGUGCACCAAGAGACACGUUCUAGAAUGUUCAUGGCUCUAUUCAUAAUAGCCCCACACUGGAGGUCCAUCGAGCGUGAACUGCCCAUCAGCAGAGGAUGGAAGGUGAGUGGGGCCUCUCCGUACCACGGACGGCGAUGAGCAACAAGACCGAGUGUGUCCAACACGGUGGACAGGCAUCUUCCCACGCGGCUUCUCGGGCUUCCUCACGCGCCGGGGGCUCAUCCCAGCCCGGGCUGCCAGGCGGAGAAGGCAGCCGCUUCCAGUGCUCUCGAGGGCCUGACUCCGAAGGCCCACACAUUUCUUCUGGUACCUUCUCCUGGUCUGGGCCCACCGGAUGGGGUGCGGGGGGCGGCAUAGGCUUCCCCUGUUGAUGGGGGGGGGGGCGCGUGUGUUCAGGGAGGAGAGAAACUGGCGGCGCCGUUUGCGGAGGUAGUCAACUGCAGUGGGAAGGCGUUUCCUUCUUAAUUCUCUUUCGAGCCGUGCAUUAUAUCCAGGUGAAAUCUCUGUGAGGCGUUAGGGGAAUUUUAAAUGGCAACGUUUUUCCAAAUACCGGGUGUGACCUGUUAGUGAGUUGUCAAAUCAGUGCGCUGAAUCCAAACUAGCAGUUUUUUAAAAGUUAUUUUUAAUUUGCAAUUUCUGAACGUGCACAAAAAAUAGAAAGUAUGAGCCCGCAGUACCACCGCUCAGCUCCAACACCCACCAACAUUAUUUUAGUUUUUUUGAGGAAGAUCAGCCCUGAGCUAACAUCUGCUGCCAAUCCUCCUCUUUUUGCUGAGGAAGACUGGCCCUGAGCUAACAUCCGUGCGCAUCUUCCUCUACUUUAUAUGUGGGACGCCUGCCACAGCAUGGCGUGCCAAGUGGUGCCAUGUCCGCAUCCAGGAUCCGAACCUGCGAACCGGGGCCGAGAGAGAAGCUCAACGUGGGAACCUAACCACUGCGCCACCUGCGGGCUACCCACCAACGUUGUUUAUACUUGAGCACCUACCUGCCUUUGAAUAUGUUUUAAAAUAAAAUAGAUUAGAC